AUGCGGGGGCGGGCGCGGGGGCGGGCGCGGGCGCGGGCGCGGGCGCGGGGGCGGCGGGGGGCGGCGCGCGCGGCCGCGGGGCGGAGUGAGCGUGGCCCCCGGCGUGCGGGGCGGCGGCGGCGGCGGCGGGGCCCCAGCGCCGGGCGGGAGGCGGCGGGGCCCCAUGGAGUGUUACUACAUUGUCAUCAGCUCCACGCGGCUCCGCAACGGACACUUUCGCAACAUCAAGGGAGUUUUCCGGGGCCCCCUCAGCAAGAACGGGACCAAAACUCUGGUAAUAGCUCGCGCGCGUCCCCGGCCCCGUCCCCGGCCCCGUCCCCGGCCCCGUCCCAGUCCCCGUCCCAGUCCCCGUCCCCGUUCCCAUCGCCGUCCCCAUCCCCGGCCCGGUCCCCGCCGCGCGGGGCGCGUGGGGAGGAUGCGGGAGGCGCGGGACCGCGCAGGUGUCGCCGCGCACGGGGGGCCCCGAGCAGCGGCCCGGGGGCAGGGGCAGGGGCAGGGGCGGAGGCAGGUGCGGGCGCGGGGGCAGGUGCGGGCGCGGCUGGGAUGCGAGCGAGGCUCGGCCGGUCCGGGGUUUCGGGGGACGCCCGCUCGGAGGAUGCUCUGCCCCGGCGCGCCCCGCUCCCGGAGCUGGGGGGGCCGCGGCCGCGGGACCCCUGCCUGGGAACGCGCCCCCCGGCGACCCCGCGGCGCCCCCGGGCCGGGCGGCUGCAGGGGAGGGGGCCGCGGGGCAGCGGGGGCGCCCGGAGGGCUCCCGAGGGGCGGCCGCAAACUUCGCGGGGACAAGUUGUCGGGGCUGAGCCGCCCGGGCGCCCGCCGAGCCCCCCGCCCCCCGCCAGCCGCGCACGCGGGAGGUUAGAGACCCGCGGGGUCACGGGCCGCCGGCUGGGCUGGAGCGCGGGCACCUGCUCCCGGGGGCUCCUCGCGGGGGGUGGGGGGGGCUGGGGCCGGAGUCGCACCUGCCCUCGGCUCCCCGCCCGGUUACAGACCUCCCCGGGGCCCUGCCUCCCGCGUGCUGGCAUCUGCGGAGCAGGGAAGCUGCAGGGAAGAGACCAAAACAAAAGGGGGAGAAGGAGAGGAGAGGAGAGGGGCAGCUCCCUAAGGUUAAGGAGCGCCAGGAGAGCGGAGCUGGAGCCAGGUGGCCGCCUGCAGGUGCCUGCAUCCCCGAGCUCUGCGCCUCUCCUGCUCCUGCUCGGGGCAAAGUGGUGA
rnacentral:lncRNA from 1 species